UCCGGUAGCUAUAUCGUGAAGGCUCCACCCGUUCCCAUCCCGAACACGGAAGUUAAGCUUCACAGAGCCGAUGGUACUGCAUAUUAGAUGUGUGGGAUAGUAGGUCGCUGCCGGAU
rnacentral:rRNA from 1 species